rnacentral:misc_RNA from 1 species
GGGAAUGCUGAUGGAUGGGCCUUCAAGGGUGCAGAACCAGAAUUGCAGUUCAGAGAUUUUAAGAUUAGGACUGAAAAUGGGCCAGCAGUGAAUUCUAAUGUGACCAAUUCCAGCUGGAACACAUUGAGUUUGGAUGAAGGUUCAAAUUCAAAAUUAAAUGGGGUGAAUUUGGACAAAAAGCAAGUGAAUUUGGAUUUAUUUGAUGAAAAUUAUGAUCUUGGGUGCAAUGAUGGAUGGGAAUUCAAGACUGCAGAAUCAGGAUCCAGGCUUGGAGAUGAGAAUACUAAGGCUGAUGGGAGAAUGCAAGAAAAUUUCAAUGGAGCACUUUACACAUUUGGUUUUGGCAAUGGU